rnacentral:ncRNA from 1 species
CCGUUGAGUGGUCAUGGAUGACUGCUUAACAAGUUUCUCCUCUAUUUCUCCUUUGUAGAUUUGGCGCAUAUUAGAUAUGCGCCGCUUU